rfam:Macaca mulatta chromosome 12, whole genome shotgun sequence.
CUGUCUGAUUAGCCAGGUGUUCCCUCCCUCCUGAAGCUGUGAGCUCUGUCAAAGUAGGAGCUGUGAGCUCCCACUCUGAUAGAGGAGGAUCGCUCUUAGGUGGAGGGUAUAUGAGUAGCUGCACUCCCCUGUUAGAACCUCCAAACAGGCUCUCAAGUGCUUUCUAAUUUCACGUCCCACCUUGGG